GAUGAACGCCGGCGGCGUGCCUAAUACAUGCAAGUCGAGCGAAUGGAUUAAGAGCUUGCUCUUAUGAAGUUAGCGGCGGACGGGCGAGUAACACGUGGGUAACCUGCCCAUAAGACUGGGAUAACUCCGGGAAACCGGGGCUAAUACCGGAUAACAUUUUGAACCGCAUGGUUCGAAAUUGAAAGGCGGCUUCGGCUGUCACUUAUGGAUGGACCCGCGUCGCAUUAGCUAGUUGGUGAGGUAACGGCUCACCAAGGCAACGAUGCGUAGCCGACCUUGGAGGGUGAUCGGCCACACUGGGACUGAGACACGGCCCGGACUCCUACGGGAGGCAGCAGUAGGGAAUCUUCCGCAAUGGACGAAAGUCUGACGGAGCAACGCCGCGUGAGUGAUGAAGGCUUUCGGGUCGUAAAACUCUGUUGUUAGGGAAGAACAAGUGCUAGUUGAAUAAGCUGGCACCUUGACGGUACCUAACCAGAAAGCCACGGCUAACUACGUGCCAGCCGCCGCCGUAA
rnacentral:rRNA from 1 species